AUGCGCGCCUUCCACCUCGGAUGGAUGUCCUUCUUCACCUGCGUCGUCUCCACCUUUGCCGCUGCGCCGCUCAUCCCCAUCAUCCGCGACAACCUCAACCUCACCAAGGCCGACAUCGGCAACGCCGGGGUCGCAUCCGUCUCCGGCGCUAUCUUCUCUAGGCUGGCCAUGGGCGCCAUAUGCGACCUCCUUGGCCCGCGGUACGGCUGCGCCUUCUUGGUCAUGCUCUCCGCGCCAGCAGUGUUUUGUAUGUCCGUCAUUGAUGGUCCUGGUGGAUAUAUCACUAUUCGCUUCCUCAUCGGUGUCUCCCUCGCCACCUUUGUGUCAUGUCAGUAUUGGAUCAGCACCAUGUUCAAUAGCAAGAUCAUCGGCACGGUCGGCGGCUUGACGGCGGGUUGGGGUGACAUGGGUGGCGGUGCCACACAACUCAUCAUGCCUCUCGUGUUCGACGGCAUCUUGGCAUGUGGUGCGACGUCCUUCACAGCGUGGCGCAUCGCCUACUUCGUGCCAGGAAUGAUGUUGGUGGUGAUGGGCUUGCUUGUGCUCACCAUGGGGCAAGACCUUCCUGACGGCAACCUAAGGAACCUUCAGAAAAAUGGUGACAUGAACAAAGACAAGUUCACCAAGGUUCUCCGGGGCGCUGUCACCAACUAUCGUACAUGGAUCUUUGUCUUCAUCUAUGGCUACUGCAUGGGCAUCGAGCUUACCACCAACAACGUCAUCGCCGAGUACUACUACGACAGUUUCCACCUCGACCUCCGCGCUGCCGGUACCAUC
rnacentral:rRNA from 1 species